rnacentral:rRNA from 1 species
UACGAAGGGGGCUAGCGUUGCUCGGAAUCACUGGGCGUAAAGGGUGCGUAGGCGGGUUUUUAAGUCAGGGGUGAAAUCCUGGAGCUCAACUCCAGAACUGCCUUUGAUACUGAAGAUCUUGAGUCCGGGAGAGGUGAGUGGAACUGCGAGUGUAGAGGUGAAAUUCGUAGAUAUUCGCAAGAACACCAGUGGCGAAGGCGGCUCACUGGCCCGGUACUGACGCUGAGGCACGAAAGCGUAGGGAGCAAACAGG